UUAUCAACUGUCAAGCCUGGCUUGUUGUUGGAUCUUUUGUCUCUUAGGUGACAAAGAUCUGAAAGAUAAUGAACGGUGUCACGGUGGCCCUAAAUGCAGCGAGCUUUUGAUAGCACGCAUUUAGUGGUGUCCAAGCCCGCUCUCAACCAUUAUUUCUAAAGGUUGACCUCGGAUCAGGUAGGAAUACCCGCUGAACUUAA
rnacentral:misc_RNA from 1 species